rnacentral:rRNA from 1 species
UACGUAGGUGGCAAGCGUUGUCCGGAAUUAUUGGGCGUAAAGCGCGCGCAGGCGGUCCUUCAAGUCUGAUGUGAAAGCCCACGGCUCAACCGUGGAGGGUCAUUGGAAACUGGGAGACUUGAGUGCAGAAGAGGAAAGUGGAAUUCCAAGUGUAGCGGUGAAAUGCGUAGAGAUUUGGAGGAACACCAGUGGCGAAGGCGACUUUCUGGUCUGUAACUGACACUGAGGCGCGAAAGCGUGGGGAGCAAACAGG